rnacentral:lncRNA from 1 species
AUUGAUACCAAAGUCAGAAACUGAAAAGACACAACUGAAGAACUACCGUCCCAUCUCCCUUUUAAAUGUGGAUUACAAAAUAUUUGCAGAUAUUUUGGCAAGUAGAUUUAAAAAGUUUUAAAUGAAGUAAUUCAUAAGGACCAGGCCGGUUUUCUCCCAGGUAGACAUUUGUUUGCUAACACAAGGAACAUUAUUGAUAUCUUGGAACUUCUCCAAACUGACAUAAAUACAAAAGCAGUUUUAAUUUUUAUAGAUGCGGAGAAGGCCUUUGAUAACAUUUCUUGGAAAUUUAUGAUGGGAAAUUUAAAAGAGAUGGGAGUGGGACGGGGUUUUGAGAAUGGGAUUGAGGCGAUAUAUUCAGAACAGAAAGCAAAACUGAUAGUUAAUAAUGUGGUUACAGAAGAGUUCAAAAUUGAAAAAGGGACACGACAAGGUUGCCCUAUCUCCCUUUGUUAUUUAUUUCGGUCCUGGAAGUGCUAUUGAACAUGAUUAGAGGGGACCAGUUGGUGGAAGGAAUUCAGGUUGGUCAGAAACAAUAUAAACUAAAAGCUUUUGCAGAUGACCUGGUUUUGACCUUGCAGAAGCCAGAGCCUAGUACGAAAAGAGUAUUACAAUUGAUUAAUGACUUUGGUCGGGUGGCGGGAUUUAAAUUAAACAAACAGAAAACCAAGGUUUUGGGGAAAAAUUUGACUGAGACAGAGUCAGAACGGUUUCAGAAUGAGACGGAACUUAAUGUGGUUCAAAAGUAAAAUACCUAGGGGUAAACAUAACAGCAAAAAAUCUAAGUCUAUUUAAGGAUAAUUAUGAAAAAUGUUGGACAGAAAUUAAGAGAGACUUAGACAGUUGGUCAAAAUUGAAACUUUCUUUGUUAGGCCGAAUUGCUGCGAUUAAGAUGAAUGUAUUGCCAAGAAUGUUGUUUUUAUUUCAAACACUUCAGGUUUUGGACAAAAUGGAGUGCUUUCAGAAGUGGCAGAGAGACAUUUCGAAGUUUGUCUGGCAGGGCAAAAAGCCCAGAAUUAAGUUUAAGAUACUAACUGAUGCAAAACAAAGAGGGGCUUUGCCCUGCCGGACUUAAAGUUGUAUUACGAAGCCGCAGCGUUCUGCUGGCUAAAAGAUUGGCUACUUCUUGAAGACACUGAUGUGUUAGAUUUGGAGGGGUUUAACAAUGUUUUUGGAUGGCAUGCAUAUUUAUGGUAUGACAAAGUUAAAGCAAAUAAGGCCUUUAAGAACCAUAUUGUUAGAAAAUCACUGUUUAAUGUCUGGACAAAAUAUAAAGACUUGCUGGAAAAUAAAACACCAAGGUGGCUUUCACCUUUGGAAGCUAAGGCCCGAAAAAGACCCAAUAUGGAGGCCAAAUGGCCAAAAUAUUGGGAAAUACUAGAAAAGAUGGAGACAAUUGGAAAUUGCAGAGUUUGGAGAAAAUGAAAGACAAAGUGCGAGAUUGGUUACACUAUGCUCAGAUUAAAGAAGUUUUUAAAAAUGAUAAGAAACUAGGGUUCCAGGUGGAGAAAUCGAAAUUAGAAACAGAAUUGUUAGAACCAAAGAUUAAGAUACUUUCAAGGAUGUAUAACUUGCUGUUGGAAUGGAAUACACAAGAUGAAAUGGUUAAAUCGGCUAUGAUAAGGUGGGCACAGGAUAUUGGGCAUAAUAUUAUGUUUGAGGACUGGGAAAGGCUGUGGAGUAAUGGAUUGAAAUUUACUGCAUGUAAUGCUUUGAAAGAAAAUGUAAUGAAAAUGAUUUAUAGAUGGUAUAUGACCCCAGUCAAACUCGCAAAAAUUUACCACCUGUCUGAUAACAAGUGCUGGAAAUGUAAAGAGUGUGAAGGAACGUUCUUUCACCUCUGGUGGACCUGCCCUAAAGUGAAGGCGUUCUGGGAAAUGAUUUAUAAUGAAUUGAAAAAGGUAUUUAAAUAUACUUUCACUAAGAAACCAGAGGCUUUCCUUUUGGGUAUUGUCAGCCAAGGGGUGGCAAAGAAGGACCAGACAUUUUUUAUGUAUGCAACAACAGCAGCAAGGAUACUACUCGCAAAACAUUGGAAAACUCAAGAUCUACCCACACUGGAAGAAUGGCAGAUGCAACUGAUAGACUAUAUGCAACUGGCUGAAAUGACUGGCAGAAUCCGUGACCUGGGAGAAGAGAGAAUCGAGGAGGAUUGGAAGAAAUUUAAGAACUACCUACAAAAACAUUGUGAUUUGACUGAAUGCUGAAUAAGAUGCUAGACUAAAUAACUGAGCACCACUUAACUUAGAAGUUUUUAAGAAAAUAAGAAAAACUGUGAAAGUUUAACUCUUUAUGAGAACUUUAAGAUUAUGAAAUAUCGAAGAGAUAUAAGAAUUUAAAUAAGAUGAUAAAUUGCUGACAAAAUGUUAUAAUGAUGAAGGUGGGAGCGGGAGAUGUGAGGAAGUCCAAAGAAAAUGUGAAAUUAUGUUAAGACGAAUGUUAUAUUGUUUAUUACAUUUAUUCCUAUUGUAAAAUCCAAUAAAUUGCUUUAAAAAAAAAA